rnacentral:misc_RNA from 1 species
GCCCACCCCAGAUAGUUGGGUGGGCAGUGGCACAAAAAUGUGGUGUCACUGCAACACACUCCAGGGCACUAAGGGCGCGUUUGGUGGCUCUUGCAAAAACAGCUAUAAAUAACAUCCGAAACUCCGAUUCAGCGUACUGUCUGCGUCUACCAUGUGGGGGUUGAUGAUUGUUCAUAGCCUGGGACGUGUCCACGAGACGGUAACUACGCAAGCGGCACCGUCCAUAAAAGAACGCGAAACCAAUUAGGCACAAACAUUGCCUCCAACAACAACAACAACGGCGAUUCGAAGCCGACACAGCCGUAUUGAACGUGUUGAGACGGAAGACGGUUAAGCAUUGCGUUAGAUAGCGAUUUUGGAUACGAAGAAUGAAAAAUGGAUUAUCGCAAAAUGGAGUGGAGGCACAGUAUGUACAUGCCUACGAUACCAUACU